CAGCAGGCGCGCAAAUUACCCACUCCCAGCACGGGGAGGUAGUGACGAAAAAUAACAAUACGGGACUCUUUUGAGACCCCGUAAAUGGAAUGAGUACACUCUAAAUCCUUUAACGAGGAUCCAUUGGAGAGAAAGUCUGGUGCCAGCAGUCGCGGUAAUUCCAGCUCCAAUAGCGUAUAUUAAAGUUGUUGCGGUUAAAAAGCUCGUAGUUGGAUCUCAGCUCCGGCCGGACGGUCCGCCUACCGGUGGUCACUGUUCGCUGCCGAGCGUUCAGGGGGCCGUCGCCGAUGAUCUUCAUCGGUUGUCGGCGGUGACCCUCACGUUUACUUUGAAAAAAUUAGAGUGCUCAAAGCAGGCGCGACGCCUGAAUAAUUGUGCAUGGAAUAAUGGAAUAGGACCUCGGUUCUAUUUUGUUGGUUUUCGGAACACGAGGUAAUGAUUAAGAGGGACAGACGGGGGCAUUCGUAUUGCGACGCUAGAGGUGAAAUUCUUGGACCGUCGCAAGACGAACUACUGCGAAAGCAUUUGCCAAGAAUGUUUCCAUUAAUCAAGAACGAAAGUUAGAGGUUCGAAGGCGAUCAGAUACCGCCCUAGUUCUAACCAUAAACGAUGCCAGCCAGCGAUCCGGCUGCGUUCCUCAAAUGACGCGCCGGGCAGCUUCCGGGAAACCAAAGCUUUUGGGUUCCGGGGGAAGUAUGGUUGCAAAGCUGAAACUUAAAGGAAUUGACGGAAGGGCACCACCAGAAAUGGAGCCUGCGGCUUAAUUUGACUCAACACGGGAAAACUUACCCGGCCCGGACACAGGAAGGAUUGACAGAUUAAGAGCUCUUUCUUGAUUCUGUGGGUGGUGGUGCAUGGCCGUUCUUAGUUGGUG
rnacentral:rRNA from 1 species